rnacentral:rRNA from 1 species
UACGGAGGGUGCUAGCGUUGUUCGGAAUUACUGGGCGUAAAGCGCGCGCAGGCGGCUAUCCAAGUCAGUGGUGAAAGCCCGGAGCUCAACUCCGGAGCUGCCAUUGAAACUGUUUAGCUUGAGGACGAGAGAGGUGAGUGGAAUUCCCAGUGUAGAGGUGAAAUUCGUAGAUAUUGGGAAGAACACCGGUGGCGAAGGCGGCUCACUGGCUCGUUUCUGACGCUCAGGCGCGACAGCGUGGGGAUCAAACAGG